ensembl:lncRNA
CUCCUAAGGAGGAAGGGCCUCUAUCUGGAGAUUGCUUCUUUGGGAGUUAUUCUGUGAGCCCAGGAAAUGGGAUUCAUCCACACUUCAACCAAUCUGUUCUGCCUUCUGCUGAUCCCUGCAUUUUGCUCCAAUGCUCUAAAUGAAAGCCUUUCCCACAGUGACCAAAAUGACCACUUUGUAUACCACAUGAGUGAUGCUUUUAAUUUCUCUCUCUGCUACUUCAGACACGUAUUAGAAAAUAAAUGGUUAUAACCGUACACUUCUGGAAACAUAAAUAAGUGUGCCACUUCCACUGAGCACAUUCACAUCAUGAUGAGCCCAGUCUGCAAAGAGAACCUUAUUUUAACAUAUUUGACCAAAUUCUACAUCAAAUCAUAUUCUCAGACAUUUACAUAUUGCUGCAUAGAUGAGGACAAAUUUUGUACCACAAUACUGAGAAUUACUCUGUUUGAUAUCACAGUUUCAGUCCUGAGGGGCUUGUACCAGAGAUGGAAAGACUCAUGUUGCCACAGUAGAAACAGAGGAAACUUAUGGAGUGUUUUUUUAUCACCAGAAGGCAGAAAACUGCAACUACAUAACAGCUCUGAUUUUAAAAUGCACAUCAUUUUAUGUGAGGAUAUUUUCUAUACCUAGACCAAAUAUCACCUUUAAAUGAAUGCUUUAAGCACAUGAAAUGUCACUGUAAUGUGUAAAUGUACAAUGAAAGAUCUUCAAAGAUUUUCACAGAUCCUAUUAGAAAAAAUGCUUACAUAUGAGUCAUUUCGCUUUUCUGUUUUAUACUCUGUAGUCUAUCCUUCUUUCUAAUUGCACAUUUUGUUGGUCUAACUUAUUUGUGCUAGAUGAAUCAGAUCAAACCACAUAACAGUCACAGUAUAAGAAUCCAUUUUCUUGGCACCUGUGUGAUCUUUUUUCUCUUCUUCUUUGUAAAUCCCUGAUAUGUCCUUGACAAGAAAUGUCUUAUUCAAUACACAUAUACUUAGUCUGAAAGAUUUCUGAGAAAGGUUUUUAUUUUAAACUGGUUGAAUGGACUAAUUUCUCUGUCACUAAAACAGUAGUAUAGUGUAACAGCAUUGUGUGUAGAUGGCUCCAAAAGUAAUGUCUCCUAAUUAUUUCUGUGGAAACUACAACAGAUAAAAAGAGCACAAUAACACCAUAUGAUAGAGCAAAUUCUCAGCUACAGAACAGUAUCUUUCAACAUAAUCACCACCAUUAGAUAUGCAUUUUCACCAGGAGUGAACAAGAGCCUGCAUACUGUACUCAUGAAAAUUUGCAAAGUUAUCUGUGACUUCUCUUGUCUUUCAUGUCGCUGUUGCAAAUAUUGAAAUGAAUCACCCAUUGCCUCACUGUGUUUACAUCCACAGUUUGGUCUCCAUAAACAUUCGCCAAGUGUUGAUGAAUGUCACUGGGUGAAAAUUAUUCUAGAGGGAGGAAUUGGAUCCCACACUUUGCUACAUAUGCACUUCCAUGUCAGAUACCAUUUUGUCAGCCUGUCCUUCUCUUCUCAUCUGUUACAUGGCAAGAAAAUGUAAUGGAAUAUUGGUGGGAAGGUUCAAAUCUACAGCUGUACCACCAGUAUCUGCCUCUGAAAUUAUGGGCCAUCACAAUAAAAUGAGAGGCAUUACUUUUGGAGCAGCCCUCAUAUUAAAAAUAAAUUAUUUUAUCUGGGACUGUACAACAUAUUCAAUAAUUUUCUUUGUUUUUUUUUUUUAACAUAUACCUAACCGUUAACUGGGAACUACAGUAUAGGAGGUUCACCAGUACCUUCCAGGAAAGUAAAUUGUUUCUUCAUCAGUGUAGUUUCAGCCAUGUUCCCUCACACAUCUGUUUAAAUAUCUUGUUACAAUUUCUAAUUAUGAUUGCAAACAGAAUAAAUAAGUUUUGCACACCUGAGGAUUUUUAAAAUGAAAUAUGUGGUUAUUCGACAGUUUCAAGAGUAAUACAGAAAAAAAUGUAGAAAUCCAAUUGCAAAUGUUACCUACUGAGCUGCAAAACCACAUAUUUGCCAUUUAAUUGAAGGCGUGUCUAGACAAAAUAAUUCAAUCUGUUUUAAUAACAUUAUUCAGUGUGAUUAAGGAAAAGUAGAUACUUAUAUUUUGAUUUCCGUGAGUAGUCUAACAUGACAUUCCAAUUUUAAUAUUUAUACUGCAGCAUAUCAUUAGCACAUGCCUUCAGUGCUUUAUGGAAACCUGAGUGACAGACCUCAAAAAGCUAAUGUGAAAUUAUCAAAUAAUAUGCUGUUAGGGGGAAAAAAAAUUGCAAUCCUCUAAAAGGAUGCUCUUAGCUCCUGCAUUGUUCAGCGUUUUACAUUUGAUAACCUAGACUCUCGUCCUCAAAAGGCUGACUGUCAUUCAGAUCUCAACUGAUUAACAUAGAGAAUGGUGAGGUGCUGGAACAGGCUGUUCAGAGAGGUUUUGGAUGAUCCCUUACAACCCAAGCCAUUCUGAUUCUAUAAUUCUAUGAACAUGAAAGAAACUGAAGAUAAAUGACUUUUUCUGUAAGCCCCAUGCAAAAGUACUAGUCCCCUUCUCCUUAUGCUACUAGCUGCACCCAUAUGAUAGCCUUAGGUAUGUAACUAAAUGAUUCUUUUUGUAGCUUUUUCCUCUUUUUCCUCCAUUAGUCUUCCCUUACUGGCCUAUGUUCUCUCUAUUCAUUCUUUGAAUCUCCAUGUUAGGAAGCAGUAUGUCCUAGAGAUGUAACACAGAACUUAUUCCAAAUGUUUGACCAAAUAAUGUUAGAAGCCUUCAGUCAUCAUGAUUUUGCAUCAUUAGAAAUAUUUCUGAGAGUUAUUUUUGAAGACUCUGUUCACAGAAAGAAAAAUAUCUCACCUGAAAAUAGAUUUUGUAGCUUGGUAGAUUGAAUUAUAUUGUCUGAGUUUCUCUCUCUCCAUCCAAUAAAUCUUUCCAGGGAUCCUUUUCCACUUAUUGGGCUUUUGAAAAUUAGGGUGACUCUCAUAAGAGAUUUAGUUCCUUACUGUCUUUUAAGGGUCUGGGACUUCAGGCUAGUAGUGCAGUGUUAACACUUUGGUAUGUUUUAAUGUGUUGUACAGUUACAAUCUUCUCUUCUCAGUACUGCUUGCUUACAAAGUACAUCUACCAGUUUCUAAAGCUGAAUGACAAAUGCAUGAAAUUGACUCCAGAAUUUUUCUUUAUGGCUGUAGUAGAAAUGCUAAGUCAUGGCCUGAAACAGUGAUUGAGCACCUGGUGGGAAGGCAGAGCCAACCCAGGGGAGCUCAGGUGCAUUGCAUGCACCUGAGUGACCAGAAGGGGUAGAGCAAGGAUCCACCUCUUCCCAGACCUCGUUUAAGAGUUGGCAGUGGAGGCAAAUGAAUGUUACUAGGGAUCCCUGCCUACCUGAGGUCUUCAAGGGGUAAGCAAAUUCUUUCAUUUGUUUCUGUGUCUAUGGGUGCUGCAUUUGAGCAUAUCCUUACCUCCUGCUAUCUAGGCCUUUGCUACUACACUGUCAUUGCUGCAUUUUCCAUCUUGUUACAGUGUUACACUGGCCCCCUAUGCAUUGCUGGUUUGUCUAUCAAGUAAGGAUUUUGUUGAGCAGACGCACAUAUAAAUUGUGUAAGUAUCAUCUUAUUUAUAAAUUAGUUGUAGAAGAGAAGCUUUGAGCACUUCAACUUCUUUAGUGAACUAAAGGUAUAAUGUAUACAUUAUUUAGUGAAAUACAUCCCAUUUUCCUUAGAAAAAAUCUGAUGGUAAAUCCACCCACCACAUAACAGAAUUUACAUUGCUGUAAGUAUAAUAACAUGUAUUUUGGAUAAUAUAUAAAGUCAUUUUAACUUAUUUUUUAUAGUAUAUUAUUUAUGAUAGAAAAUUAACAAUAAUGUAUCUUGAAAAAAAAACCCUAUGAUUUGUAAGGAAAUUAAUAUAUUUGUGUACAAAUAUUGAUUUGUUAUAAAGAUCUGUAGAGCAAACAAAGGUGAUGACAGAUCCUUUAUUUGAGAAAUAGGUGCUCUAGGAAAAGAUAUCAAAGAAGUUAACUCAUCCCUCCCAGUAACAGUUUGUAGAAAGGGGAGAACUGAGGAAUGCAGCCUUCUCCUGUCCAUAACCUUGGGCUGCAGGAGAAAAGGGUGGGGGAAGAGGAACCCACGCAGACUCAAAUUACACACAUGCUCCCAGAAGCAUCGCUAUAGGAUGUGAUCCAGAAUCAGUGUUUACUUACAGCCCACAAUACUUAAGAUGCUCUCGUUUGUUCAACAAACCCUUAAGAUACUAUUUUUUUACAACAGAGGUAACUGCAAAUAUUUAUCAAAACUGUAUUUAGUAGAUAAAGUGAAGAAAGAGAAACUGUUAUUAGUAUCUUCAGACUGCGUAUGUGAUUUUGAUAUAUAUAUAUAUAUAUGGAAUAAUUGUUCAUCUAAUGUAUCUACUAUCAAAUCUGUAUGACUUUUUGUACUUAGGCACAUCUUUGUUCAUAUCAGUGGAUUUCUCCACAACUAUGAGCAUGUUCCUAAUUCUAAAUCCUACCUGGAUAGAAAAGAUGAUAGACACACAUACUGUUGUCACAAUGGCAAUGCAUAUUCUUCACAGUCAUAUUUGCAGUCUGUGGAAAUUGAUGCCUUGCAAUGAUAACAGGAAAAGCACCAAAGAACAAAAUGAGAAAAAUAUUUAACAGCUAGAAGUGUUGGUUUCUCCAAAUGGUAUAAUGAGGGUGGAAAACCUCCCUGGUGCUAUUGAGGGAUUUCACAUCUUGAUUUUUAUGACAUACAACAUGUAAUUAAAAAUCUUUACUCUUCCUAUCUUAAUUAGAGGGGAAAAAAAAAAGUUUGAAAAAUUUACACCCUGUAGGUGUCCUCUAGCUCCAUUUCCCCCGCUUGAGAAAUUUUACUGUGUAUUCUGCGUAUUCUGCAAUUAACAUUUCUAUAUUUACAAUUCCUCAUUAGUUAAUUCCAUAUUAGUAUUCAGUGAUACCAGUAUUAUUAUAUACUUCAAUGUUCUGUAGAUAAAGAUAAGUACUCAACUAAAAAAAAAUGUAUUGAUUCAGUACUCUUUCUCCUCCUUUAUUAAUAAUUCCUUAGGAUGCACUCUUGUAAGAGAUGCUUUCUGAAAUACAGUUAAUCUGUAUUCUAACACUUUAAAACUGAUAAUGACAGCUGCUAAAAACAUCAUGUAGUUCAGUAUCAACCAGAAUAGGGCUCUCCUUGUAAAGAAUAAAGCUUUGCUGUAAUUCUGAUCAGUGCUUUCUUCUCUGAUGUUACUGCUGCUAGCAAAAUUUCAUUAAUUGUUCCCCAAUAGACUCUCUAGCAGACAAGGGCAACAAUAUAUGAAAUAUGAAAUUUACUUUAGUCAUUAGAAAUAUCAUUGUACAAAAAGUAUUUCUCAUCUGAAAAGAAAAUAAUCAAAGAAAUAAUAUUUUAGAAGGAUCUUUCUGCUUACACAGAACUUCAUUGAUUUUUUUUUUACUUCAUUUAAUCAAUAAGAAAAUACAGAUUAUUGGAAUUCAUUACAGUCCAUGAUUAUCUAGCCUGUCUUCCAACAAAAUAAAGAGUUAAGAAUCCCUUGAAUUAAUUCCUGCUUGAUCUCAACUAUAUCUCCUAACAAUAUGGUAUAGAUUUAUAAAUAUUCCCUUGAGAUGGCAUAUCCAGUAACUAAAUGCUUACUAUAGGCAAUUAUGUUCCUUCAUUGCUAGUACUCUGUUAAUAGAUUUAUAUUCCCUGGAAAUUGCAUAUUGAUUAAGUUAGGGUCACCCCCACAAACUUGUCUUUUAUAAGACAAAUUGUUCGGGCUAUAUAUUUCAGGGAAAGCUCGGUUUUUCAUAUCUUUAUCAUUCUCAAGGCUCUUCUCUCAACCCUGUCCAGUUUCUCAGCAUUCUUUCUGAACUGCAGAUACUGAACCCUGUCUUUCAGCAGCAAUCAUUCUACUCUCAAAUAUGGAAUAUACUCAUUUAACACCUCCCGAGUGUGUGUCUUCCUCUAUAUCUGAAAGUUUUUUGCCUCAAGUUGAAGGAAGUUGGCUCUUCCAGUCCGCUGACAAAAAAUCAUAAGAUAUGUGUAGAAAAGGGCCUAUUUCUUUAGGAGACAUAACAAUGCAGAUCUUGCUACGUGCCUUCUAGAACUGUAAACCAUCUGUGUUGUGUUGUUUUUUUUGUUUGUUUGUUUGUUUUUCUUUUGAAUACGGUAACAAUGUUGCCUUUCUUCUUUUAUGGAAAUUUUGCAAUGCUCCAGAUCUUUUGAAAGCUGAUAACAAUGUUCAGUAGAGCUGCUUUAUGUGGGUAUAAAAUGUCUAGUAGUUGUAUCUUAUGUUUAUUUUAUUUCUCCCAUCAAUCUAAAAAGCAGAAGUUAUUGGUAAGUAGCAUUCAGGUUUGGAAAAUGCACUUAAAAUUACAUCAGCUCACUUCUAAAAGGCUAAAGCUAUAUUCAGCAGCUGGGUGGAUUAAUACAGAUCAUUUAAACAGGUGAAACUGAUAUUAGCUCUCAGUCCACAGAGAUAAAGGGCCUAGAGUGUAGAGGACGGUUUAAACUAAAACAAGGUCCUUCUUUGAAGUCUUCUGAUUUUUUCUUUUCCACCAAGCUGCUAAGAAAUGGUACAAGUAUUGAGUAGAUGUGAGUUUACAGCCUUUUUAAAUGUACAUCUUAAAUUUUUCUAGUAGCAAUGAAUUCUCAUCAUUUAAAGCAUCAGUUAAAUAAGGCAGUUAUUUGUGGUACUAAGAGGAUUAAAUUCCUAUCUUUUCCAUGUCAGUCAUUUUAAAACCCUUUUUAUUAUCAAGAUGGCUUACUUCCUCACACACAUUUAAUUUCAAACAUCUUAAAGCUAUAUUCACUUUUAAGCCUAGCAAGUCCAUUGCAAGAUUCAGAACUUUGCUUUGGUAUAAAUCCUGAUUUCGGAGCCUGAAAUAUCUUACCUUCAUUCAAAGUUCCUGGAAACAAACAUGUUACUAGGGAGCUGUAAAACUUUAAGGUUGGAUUCAUGAUCCCAGCUUCUGAUACUGUCAUAGACUUCUCCAUCCUUCUUAAACUGUGUGAAAAGCUCAGAGACUAUUUUGGCCAGGAAGAGAGUGAAAGGGCUAAAUGUAGCAGUCUGUGUGCUUUCUUGUGGUUAGUUUUCCAUCACAGUCUCAAACAAUCCGCCUAAAAGCUUUAGAUAUAAAUAAGUUAGAAUAUAACAUUAGAUAGAAAUGCUGACUGAGGUGAAGAGGGGAGAUCAAACUUUUUUUCCAUGUGAAUGUCUUGGUCAGCAGUGAAAUUCCUCAUAAGGAACACAGGUGGUUCCUUCACAUAGAGAGGCCUGACUGCAAGAUGUACCUCAAGUCAGGAGGCGUAGCUUUGUUUUUCUUGAUAAGAAACAGUAGUUCUAUACAAAAUGGGUGGCUGCUUUAUCCACUGAACUGUUGUGUAGAACAGUGAGUGUGAUCACUAGAACUGCUAUAAAAAUGAUUUCCUGGGACUGAAUUGUAUUACUUACAGAAAUUGCAGCCUUACUUUAUCUCCUUUUGAGUCACAAUAAAGAGUCCCAUGCCGAUGUUAGUACUAGUGCCCUGUAAAUAGCAGUAAAAAUCUCCUACAACUCAUUUACAUACUUAUUUUCUGAAAACAAUUUUGUGACUUCUCUUGGAAGAGUCUGUGACAAAAGGAAUUGAAUAUUAGCAGUGCAAGAGAAUUUUUAAUUAAUUAUUCUAACUUACGCAGCUAGCAAUAUCAUCUCUCUCUGUUCACACUUCUGGACAUCACAAAAACAUAACCUUUACUGAUAAAAUUACAUUGACACAGCUGGUAUCUAAAUCUAAGUCUUUAGCACAUUUUUCAUUAAUAUGGGUAUUAAAAAACAUCUUGCACUUUCUGAAUAUUUUUUAGGACUGCUGAAAAGUUUUUGAGCCUUCUAUGCCUUUCUAUAUCUGUUCUUAAUGUUACCUCAGCAAAAUCUGAAGGGUUAUUUUGGUUAUUCUGUUUCCUGCAUAAUUUCAACAAGAUCACUUAGAUCUAUUUGUCAUAGAAAACUUUGUUUCUGCUAAGAAAAAAAUUAUAGCUUUAAUUAAAAGUGACAUCUAUCUAUCAAAUUAUUUUUUGUAACAUAUGACAUGUAUUCUAGGUCAAAGCUGAACUGAAGCUAAUAGUUGGUAACAGUUUCCAUCUACAUUAUUCCCUAAAGGCCUGAUGCAAGAUCGGUGCUAGUUUGUUUUGGAUUAAAUGGGUGAGGUAUUUGAUGUUUCACUCAAAGAAGUCUUUCUGUUGUGCUUAUUCAAAUUUAUCAGUUAUUAUGGGAGGAUUUAUACAAAUAUAUUCCCUUUUGUAGAAAAAUUUCAUUAUUCUGAUAACACCACAGAGAUGCUUUGAGUAGUUAAGAACUCUGUAUUUUAUGCAGUAUGAGGUGCAGCUGUCCAUGUGCUGGUAGUGUAAACAGCUCUGCAGACAUCAAGGUCAAUGAAGAAGUAGGAAGAAUGGAGACGAUCCUGGCACUGGAGCAGUUUCUUCUGCAGCAGGUGGAUGACACAACAUGGCAGAGGACACAACAUGGAGGACUGCAGCUUGUGGAGAAUUACUUUGAAUCAAGGGAUGAAUGUGAGGAGAGAGGAGUGGUAAAGAGAUGAACUGACCAUGACCAUCAUUCUCCUGCAUCGUGGUGAGGGAGGCAGUGGAGUCAGGAGUGUAGCAGUGAAAUUAAGCUAGAAAAGGAUUAUGGGGAGAAGUGGCUUAAAAGUGUUAAUUAUAUUGAGAAACAUAGAUAAUAGUUAUCUAUUUUACAUUGAUGGCUCUGAAAGCAAUGCCUCCUACUUAUUUCCAUGGGAACUACAACAGAUACAAAGAGAACAAUAAUCUGAUAGAGGAAGUUCUCAAGUACAAAACACUAUUUUUCAACAGUAGCCAUCAACAGCUCUGCAUUUUUGCUAGAGAUUAACAGGAGCCUGCAUGUCAUGCUCAUAAAAGGUCUGCACCAGUGGAGGUGACCUGCUGUUACACAGCUGCAAUGAUGGUGUCACUGUUAGGAAAAUGUUGCCCAUGCUGUUCGUCUUUCAUUAGUCCAAACAGUUAGAAAUCAGAAGGUGUCAAAUUUAGACCAUAUGGUGGGUGCAGUAGGACAGGUCAUCCAAGACUGGUGAUGUGCUUCACGGUCUUCAAUCCAGCAUGGGACCUUGCAUUAGCAUGUUUCGAAAGAAAGGUUGUUGUCUUCUCUGGACUUACUCUGGAGGUUUGAGCCUUCACCUUAGUCAGCAUCAUGAUGUAGUGGUCAGAACUGAUGCUUUGUCUGGGUUCCAGGAAAUCCAGAAGGAUCACUCCUUCACUAUCACAAACAAUCAUGCACAUAACUUUACUCACUUGAGGCUGCAUCUUGAACUCUUUCUCUUAUGGGAAGCUCAAAUAUCACUGCUCUAUGAAUUGCUGUUUUAACACCAGCUCAUAACAAUAAUGCAUCUUGUCAUGAGUAAUGAUCCAGGAAGCAUUGUUACCUUCAGCCUCAUACUGACAAACUUUUGUGCCAUGGUCUUUCUGUUUCUCUGUGAGCAUUCAUGGAACUCACCUGGUACAAUUUUUUUUGCUAUUCUAAUGUUGCCACCAUUGUUUCUAACUCAUAGAAACCCAUAUUCUGAUCUGUACAUAGUUCUCUGGUUGUAAUCUGCCAAUUUCAGCAAAUGAGCUGAUUGAGAUGUUCUUCAUCUUGUCCUGAGGCAGCUGAAGCAUAUACCUCAGUUUAAAAAAAAAAAAAAAAAAAAAAAAAAAAGGCAACUAUUAAUCAUUUCCUAUCAACUAAAAGAGUCAUUGUGCUUCACUUUUUCACCAGUCAUAAAGUUUAAGAUUCUAUUUGAGGGGGAGAAAACAUGACAGUAUUAUUACUACACAGUCAUCAUUCUGUCUGUAAGAUUAUUUUGAAGUUUAAGAUAGUUUUGUACAUAUAUAUAAAAAGAAUUAUAUUUAUCAAUUUUCUAAGAUAAAUGCUUAUAAUGCUGCCAUUCUGAGAUAUUUACAUGUUGUUCAAAUCCUUAAUAUCCUACUACACCAGAAAAUAAUGUAUUAAAG